UACGGAAGGCAGCAGUGGGGAAUAUUGCACAAUGGGCGCAAGCCUGAUGCAGCCAUGCCGCGUGUAUGAAGAAGGCCUUCGGGUUGUAAAGUACUUUCAGCGGGGAGGAAGGCGAUGUGGUUAAUAACCGCGUCGAUUGACGUUACCCGCAGAAGAAGCACCGGCUAACUCCGUGCCAGCAGCCGCGGUAAUACGGAGGGUGCAAGCGUUAAUCGGAAUUACUGGGCGUAAAGCGCACGCAGGCGGUCUGUUAAGUCAGAUGUGAAAUCCCCGGGCUUAACCUGGGAACUGCAUUUUGAACUGGCAGGCUUGAGUCUCGUAGAGGGGGUAGAAUUCCAGGUGUAGCGGUGAAAUGCGUAGAGAUCUGGAGGAAUACCGGUGGCGAAGGCGGCCCCUGGGACGAGACUGACGCUCAGGUGCGAAAGCGUGGGGAGCGAAACAGGGAUUAGGAUAC
rnacentral:rRNA from 1 species